rnacentral:rRNA from 1 species
CCGCCGGCGACCGGCGCACGGGUGAGUAACACGUAUGCAACCUGGCCGUGACAGAUGGAUAACCGGGAGAAAUCCCGCCUAAUACAACAUAAUGCCGGGAGGGGACAUCCCCUGCCGGUCAAAGGGGGCGACCCCGGUCACGGAUGGGCAUGCGGCGCAUUAGGUAGUUGGUGGGGCAACGGCCCACCAAGCCGACGAUGCGUAGGGGUUCUGAGAGGAAGGUCCCCCACAUUGGAACUGAGACACGGUCCAAACUCCUACGGGAGGCAGCAG